rnacentral:rRNA from 1 species
UACGGAGGGUGCGAGCGUUGUCCGGAAUCAUUGGGCGUAAAGGGCGCGUAGGUGGCCCGGUCAGUUCGUGGUGAAAGCGCGGGGCUCAACCCUGCGUCGGCCAUGAAUACUGCCGCGGCUGGAGCACUGUAGAGGCAGGCGGAAUUCCGGGUGUAGCGGUGGAAUGCGUAGGAGAGUCCGGAAGAACACCGGUGGCGAAGGCGGCCUGCUGGGCAGUUGCUGACACUGAGGCGCGACAGCGUGGGGAGCGAACAGG